CCCUGCAGGUGUGGCUGCUGUGUCUCAUUUGCACCAGUAGGUGGCAGAGAGGAGAGGCUACAUCUACCCUCAGAGCUCUGACCUGUGAUUUGUAGCCUAACAUUCCCAGGAAAACGCUAGCCUGAGAUG
rnacentral:snoRNA from 1 species